GACGAACGCUGGCGGCGUGCUUAACACAUGCAAGUCGAACGGAAAGGCCCUGCUUUUGUGGGGUGCUCGAGUGGCGAACGGGUGAGUAACACGUGAGUAACCUGCCCUUGACUUUGGGAUAACUUCAGGAAACUGGGGCUAAUACCGGAUAGGAGCUCCUGCUGCAUGGUGGGGGUUGGAAAGUUUCGGCGGUUGGGGAUGGACUCGCGGCUUAUCAGCUUGUUGGUGGGGUAGUGGCUUACCAAGGCUUUGACGGGUAGCCGGCCUGAGAGGGUGACCGGCCACAUUGGGACUGAGGUACGGCCCAGACUCCUACGGGAGGCAGCAGUGGGGAAUAUUGCACAAUGGGCGGAAGCCUGAUGCAGCAGCGCCGCGUGCGGGAUGACGGCCUUCGGGUUGUAAACCGCGUUCGCCUGUGACGAAGCGUGAGUGACGGUAAUGGGUAAAGAAGCACCGGCUAACUACGUG
rnacentral:rRNA from 1 species